AUGUUUGAAACAAAUAACUUAAGUGCACGGUACUCAUUUUAGCUUUAAACCAAGUUCAGCUUGGCUGAUUUAACAUAAACUGAAGACCCGCUGAAGCCACACAAUCCACUUAGUUUGGUUUAAUGCCCGCGUAUUCUCCAGUAAACUGGCUUUGGUAACGCAGUGUUGUGUGACUUGCACAAGCUUCCGUAGGACAAAUGCUGCGCAUGCUCAGAAGUUCAGUCCAUGAACGAGAAACGUCGGCGAGGAUCGCGAGGCAGGUGAAAAGCGGGCGAAUCUUGAUCCAUCCGAGGUGUCUCUGUCAGUAAGAACAGUCCUGCAAUUGUAGGCUGGGUGGUGUACCUUUUUUGGCUCUUGUGUACCAUGAAUGUGGAAGUGUAAAGACUGUGAUGCAGAAGAAAGUAAAAGUAGUUAAUUAUUU